rnacentral:rRNA from 1 species
GAUGAACGCUGGCGGCGUGCCUAACACAUGCAAGUCGAACGAAGCACCUUACCUGAUUCUUCGGAUGAAAGUUUGGUGACUGAGUGGCGGACGGGUGAGUAACGCGUGGGUAACCUGCCCUGUACAGGGGGAUAACAGCUGGAAACGGCUGCUAAUACCGCAUAAGCGCACGAGGAGACAUCUCCUUGUGUGAAAAACUCCGGUGGUACAGGAUGGGCCCGCGUCUGAUUAGCUGGUUGGCAGGGUAACGGCCUACCAAGGCAACGAUCAGUAGCCGGUCUGAGAGGAUGAACGGCCACAUUGGAACUGAGACACGGUCCAAACUCCUACGGGAGGCAGCAGUGGGGAAUAUUGCACAAUGGGGGAAACCCUGAUGCAGCAACGCCGCGUGAGUGAAGAAGUAUUUCGGCAUGUAAAGCUCUAUCAGCAGGGAAGAUAAUGACGGUACCUGACUAAGAAGCUCCGGCUAAAUACGUG